rnacentral:rRNA from 1 species
UGCAGUCGAGUGCGCGUUCCGUAGCAAUACGGAAUGGCGCACGGCGCACGGGUGCGUAACACGUGGGUAAUCUGCCCUUCGAUGGGGAAUAACCUCGCGAAAGCGAGGCUAAUUCCGCAUAACAUUCCUUGAACUCCGGUUCGAGGAUUCAAAGGCGCAAGUCGUCGGAGGUGGAGCCCGCGCACGAUUAGCUAGUUGGUGAGGUAAUGGCUCACCAAGGCUAUGAUCGUUAGCUGGUCUGAGAGGAUGGCCAGCCACACUGGAACUGAGACACGGUCCAGACUCCUACGGGAGGCAGCAGUGGGGAAUCUUGCACAAUGGGCGAAAGCCUGAUGCAGCGACGCCGCGUGGGGGAUGAAGCUUCUCAGAGUGUAAACCCCUUUCGACCGGGACGAAUGCCCGCAAGGGACUAACGGUACCGGUAUAAGAAGCCCCGGCUAACUACGUGCCAGCAGCCGCGGUAAGACGUAGGGGGCCAGCGUUGCUCGGAAUUACUGGGUGUAAAGGGUUCGUAGGCGGUGUGGCAAGUCGGGAGUGAAAUCUCUGGGCUCAACUCAGAGGCUGCUUCCGAAACUGCUGUGCUUGAGUGUGGGAGAGGCGCGUGGAAUUGCAGGUGUAGCGGUGAAAUGCGUAGAUAUCUGCAGGAACACCCGUGGCGAAAGCGGCGCGCUGGACCACUACUGACGCUGAUGAACGAAAGCUAGGGGAGCAAACAGGAUUAGAUACCCUGGUAGUCCUAGCCCUAAACGAUCAGGACUUGGGGUGCCACCCGUUCGGGUGUCGUCCCGGAGCUAACGCGUUAAGUCCUGCACCUGGGGAGUACGGUCGCAAGACUGAAACUCAAAGGAAUUGACGGGGGCCCGCACAAGCGGUGGAACAUGUGGUUCAAUUCGACGCUACGCGAGGAACCUUACCUGGGCUCGAAUGCUUCUGAC